rnacentral:rRNA from 1 species
AGGACGAACGCUGGCGGCGUGCUUAACACAUGCAAGUCGAACGGUGAACCAGGGCUUGCCCUGGGAAUCAGUGGCGAACGGGUGAGUAACACGUGAGCAACCUGCCCCUGGCUCUGGGAUAACUCCGGGAAACCGGAGCUAAUACCGGAUACGAGACCGAUUGGCAUCUUUACGGUCUGGAAAGUUUUUCGGCCAGGGAUGGGCUCGCGGCCUAUCAGCUUGUUGGUGGGGUAAUGGCCCACCAAGGCGACGACGGGUAGCCGGCCUGAGAGGGCGACCGGCCACACUGGGACUGAGACACGGCCCAGACUCCUACGGGAGGCAGCAGUGGGGAAUAUUGCGCAAUGGGCGAAAGCCUGACGCAGCGACGCCGCGUGAGGGAUGAAGGCCUUCGGGUUGUAAACCUCUUUCAGCAGGGAAGAAGCGAAAGUGACGGUACCUGCAGAAGAAGCACCGGCUAACUACGUGCCAGCAGCUGC